CCUCGGGUGGCAGCAGUCGAGAAUCUUCCGCAAUGGGCGCAAGCCUGACGGAGCAAUGCCGCGUGAAGGAUGAAGGUCUUCGGAUUGUAAACUUCUGUCACUGGGGACGAAUAAAUGACGGUACCCGGAGAGGAAGUCACGGCUACUACGUGCCAGCAGCCGCGGUAAUACGUAGGUGACUAGCGUUGUUCGGAUUUAUUGGGCGUAAGGGGUCCGCAGGGGGCCGGCUAAGGCUGAUGUGAAAUACCAAGGCUCAACCUUGGAACUGCAUUGGAAACUGGUUGGCUAGAGUAUCGGAGAGGAGAUUGGAAUUCCUGGUGUAGCGGUGGAAUGCGUAGAUAUCAGGAGGAACACCAAAGGCGAAGGCAGAUCUCUGGACGAUUACUGACCCUCAGGGACGAAAGUAUGGGGAUCAAACA
rnacentral:rRNA from 1 species